ACAGUAGGUUCAUUCCCCCCACCACAUCGAACUGUGCGCGCGCUGCGCGGUCGGUCGCUCCCCUCCUCUGUCCGCGAUCUCGGCUGGCCGCCUGGGCUUGGCCCUCGCCACCGCUCCCGUCUCCGGUUCCGGCGGCCGAGCCAGGUUUGCUCGGGUCUUCGUGCCAGCGACGAUGAAGGACAAGCGUGGGCUCGAGGACGCCGGCGACGGGCGCCCUGAUGCCAAGAGGCCGCGGCCUCCGGCUCUGGCCAGGUGAGGAGCCCUCCGGAUUCCACUUUUGGCCUUUUGGGCGUGUUUAGCUUCGUGAUGCGCAUGAGUGGGGAGCACUAGCGGGAGCCCUACUGACUUACAGUAUUGUACUUGUACACAAUCGGAAACUUGGUUCUGGAUUACUUUCCCGCUGAUCUUUUAUGGUAGUGAGCGCCAGUGGAAAUGGCCCCGGCCCCCGUGUGUUUUUUCUCGUCUCCCACUUGUCUUGGGUGACCUCAACUCGAGCUGGAAUCAUCAUCUUCAGUGGCUACUGGU
rnacentral:lncRNA from 1 species